rnacentral:rRNA from 1 species
ACGAACGCUGGCGGCGUGCCUAAUACAUGCAAGUCGAGCGGACCGACGGGAGCUUGCUCCCUUAGGUCAGCGGCGGACGGGUGAGUAGCACGUGGGUAACCUGCCUGUAAGACUGGGAUAACUCCGGGAAACCGGGGCUAAUACCGGAUGCUUGAUUGAGCCGCAUGGUUCAAUUAUAAAAGGUGGCUUUCAGCUACCACUUACAGAUGGACCCGCGGCGCAUUAGCUAGUUGGUGAGGUAACGGCUCACCAAGGCGACGAUGCGUAGCCGACCUGAGAGGGUGAUCGGCCACACUGGGACUGAGACACGGCCCAGACUCCUACGGGAGGCAGCAGUAGGGAAUCUUCCGCAAUGGACGAAAGUCUGACGGAGCAACGCCGCGUGAGUGAUGAAGGUUUUCGGAUCGUAAAACUCUGUUGUUAGGGAAGAACAAGUACCGUUCGAAUAGGGCGGCACCUUGACGGUACCUAACCAGAAAGCCACGGCUAACUACGUGCCAGCAGCCGCGGUAAUACGUAGGUGGCAAGCGUUGUCCGGAAUUAUUGGGCGUAAAGCGCGCGCAGGCGGUUUCUUAAGUCUGAUGUGAAAGCCCCCGGCUCAACCGGGGAGGGUCAUUGGAAACUGGGGAACUUGAGUGCAGAAGAGGAGAGUGGAAUUCCACGUGUAGCGGUGAAAUGCGUAGAGAUGUGGAGGAACACCAGUGGCGAAGGCGACUCUCUGGUCUGUAACUGACGCUGAGGCGC